rnacentral:rRNA from 1 species
AAGGCUGAGGCGUGAUGACGAGGCACUACGGUGCUGAAGCAACAAAUGCCCUGCUUCCAGGAAAAGCCUCUAAGCAUCAGGUAACAUCAAAUCGUACCCCAAACCGACACAGGUGGUCAGGUAGAGAAUACCAAGGCGCUUGAGAGAACUCGGGUGAAGGAACUAGGCAAAAUGGUGCCGUAACUUCGGGAGAAGGCACGCUGAUAUGUAGGUGAAGUCCCUCGCGGAUGGAGCUGAAAUCAGUCGAAGAUACCAGCUGGCUGCAACUGUUUAUUAAAAACACAGCACUGUGCAAACACGAAAGUGGACGUAUACGGUGUGACGCCUGCCCGGUGCCGGAAGGUUAAUUGAUGGGGUCAGCGCAAGCGAAGCUCUUGAUCGAAGCCCCGGUAAACGGCGGCCGUAACUAUAACGGUCCUAAGGUAGCGAAAUUCCUUGUCGGGUAAGUUCCGACCUGCACGAAUGGCGUAAUGAUGGCCAGGCUGUCUCCACCCGAGACUCAGUGAAAUUGAACUCGCUGUGAAGAUGCAGUGUACCCGCGGCAAGACGGAAAGACCCCGUGAACCUUUACUAUAGCUUGACACUGAACAUUGAGCCUUGAUGUGUAGGAUAGGUGGGAGGCUUUGAAGUGUGGACGCCAGUCUGCAUGGAGCCGACCUUGAAAUACCACCCUUUAAUGUUUGAUGUUCUAACGUUGACCCGUGAUCCGGGUUGCGGACAGUGUCUGGUGGGUAGUUUGACUGGGGCGGUCUCCUCCUAAAGAGUAACGGAGGAGCACGAAGGUUGGCUAAUCCUGGUCGGACAUCAGGAGGUUAGUGCAAUGGCAUAAGCCAGCUUGACUGCGAGCGUGACGGCGCGAGCAGGUGCGAAAGCAGGUCAUAGUGAUCCGGUGGUUCUGAAUGGAAGGGCCAUCGCUCAACGGAUAAAAGGUACUCCGGGGAUAACAGGCUGAUACCGCCCAAGAGUUCAUAUCGACGGCGGUGUUUGGCACCUCGAUGUCGGCUCAUCACAUCCUGGGGCUGAAGUAGGUCCCAAGGGUAUGGCUGUUCGCCAUUUAAAGUGGUACGCGAGCUGGGUUUAGAACGUCGUGAGACAGUUCGGUCCCUAUCUGCCGUGGGCGCUGGAGAACUGAGGGGGGCUGCUCCUAGUACGAGAGGACCGGAGUGGACGCAUCACUGGUGUUCGGGUUGUCAUGCCAAUGGCACUGCCCGGUAGCUAAAUGCGGAAGAGAUAAGUGCUGAAAGCAUCUAAGCACGAAACUUGCCCCGAGAUGAGUUCUCCCUGACUCCUUGAGAGUCCUGAAGGAACGUUGAAGACGACGACGUUGAUAGGCCGGGUGUGUAAGCGCAGCGAUGCGUUGAGCUAACCGGUACUAAUGAACCGUGAGGCUUAACCUU